rnacentral:rRNA from 1 species
UAAUUCUAGAGCUAAUACAUGCUAAAACCCCGACUUCGGGAGGGGUGUAUUUAUUAGAUAAAAAACCAAUGCCCUUCGGGGCUCUUGGUGAUUCAUGAUAACUUAACGGAUCGCAUGGCCUUGCGCCGGCGACGGUUCAUUCAAAUUUCUGCCCUAUCAACUUUCGAUGGUAAGGUAUUGGCUUACCAUGGUUUCAACGGGUAACGGGGAAUUAGGGUUCGAUUCCGGAGAGGGAGCCUGAGAAACGGCUACCACAUCCAAGGAAGGCAGCAGGCGCGCAAAUUACCCAAUCCCGACUCGGGGAGGUAGUGACAAUAAAUACUGAUACAGGGCUCUUUUGGGUCUUGUAAUCGGAAUGAGUACAAUUUAAACCCCUUAACGAGGAACAAUUGGAGGGCAAGUCUGGUGCCAGCAGCCGCGGUAAUUCCAGCUCCAAUAGCGUAUAUUAAAGUUGUUGCAGUUAAAAAGCUCGUAGUUGAACCUUGGGCCUGGCUGGCCGGUCCGCCUCACCGCGUGUACUGGUCCGGCCGGGCCUUUCCUUCUGGAGAGCCGCAUGCCCUUCACUGGGUGUGUUGGGGAACCAGGACUUUUACUUUGAAAAAAUUAGAGUGUUCAAAGCAGGCCUUUGCUCGAAUACGUUAGCAUGGAAUAAUAGAAUAGGACGUGCGGUCCUAUUUUGUUGGUUUCUAGGACCGCCGUAAUGAUUAAUAGGGAUAGUCGGGGGCAUCAGUAUUCAAUUGUCAGAGGUGAAAUUCUUGGAUUUAUUGAAGACUAACUACUGCGAAAGCAUUUGCCAAGGAUGUUUUCAUUAAUCAGUGAACGAAAGUUAGGGGAUCGAAGACGAUCAGAUACCGUCGUAGUCUUAACCGUAAACUAUGCCGACUAGGGAUCGGGCGAUGUUUCUAUCUUGACUCGCUCGGCACCUUACGAGAAAUCAAAGUUUUUGGGUCUGGGGGAGUA